GUGGGGAAUAUUGGACAAUGGGCGAAAGCCUGAUCCAGCAAUGCCGCGUGAGUGAUGAAGGCCUUAGGGUUGUAAAGCUCUUUUACCCGGGAUGAUAAUGACAGUACCGGGAGAAUAAGCUCCGGCUAACUCCGUGCCAGCAGCCGCGGUAAUACGGAGGGAGCUAGCGUUGUUCGGAAUUACUGGGCGUAAAGCGCACGUAGGCGGCUUUGUAAGUUAGAGGUGAAAGCCUGGAGCUUAACUCCAGGACUGCCUUUAAGACUGCAUCGCUUGAAUCCAGGAGAGGUGAGUGGAAUUCCGGGUGUAGAGGUGAAAUUCGCAGAUAUUCGGAAGAACACCAGUGGCGAAGGCGGCUCACUGGACUGGUAUUGACGCUGAGGUGCGAAAGCGUGGGGAGCAAACAGGAUUAGAUACCCGGGUAGUCC
rnacentral:rRNA from 1 species